GGCGUGGGUGAUGAAAAUGUGACCUUAGGUAGGUCUUAUUUGCGCCGUUCUGGUGUAAAGCUUUGGACCUACCGAUGCCAGGACUUGUCAUAGUUACACUGACACGCC